UUAAUUUUUUUUAAAAAUCCAUUUUAUCCCAAAAGAGGACUCAUAUAUAAAAAUUUGUAACUUCUAGUGUCUAUUCAAUUUUUUUUAUAAAAUAUAGGUAUUGGGAUGUAAUUAAUUGAAAAUGAGAAAAUUGAAUGGUAUGCUGCAACCGUUGCACCAUAGUUUCAUCUUGUAAAGUAUCCGGUUAUUCCGGUUAAGAUCGCAACAUUUGUUCUCCGUUCUCCAAAUUGUUUAUAAGUAAUUUUUAGGGACCUCCCCUGAGGUUUAGUGUAUUGACAGUUUGAUAAAAAGUAUUCACGUAAUUAUAGAGACCUCCCCCGAUAUUAGUACCCAAUUAACUUGACUAUUACUGGACUGACGAAAAGCCAAAAAUGCCCUUGGCCGCAAAAAUGCCCUAAUAGUUACAGUUUCUAUAAUGAUAGUAACUAUAGUUUGGCAUUAAACAUCACACUAGAGCACUAAAAAGUCUAAAAUAACCAUUGAAAACAAAUCAUUGACAUUACAUAAUAUAAAAAAGGAGAAAAAUAUAAAUUAAGAAAAUCAACAAAGUUAUCAAUGUAUUGAAUAUUUACAACAACAGUGGCUGUAAAUGCAACCAUUGUCAAGCUAAAAUCACCAUUACAGCCACUGCUUCUUUAACUUUCAUCUCACAAUUUCUUCCUUCAUCAUUCAACACAUCUCAAAAGCUCAAUACUUAGUAAGCUGCUUCAAUAAGACAAUAAACAAACCAUAAGUCACUCUUCAAUGCAUUCAAAAUACACAACUAACACAGUAGAAUCAAAUCCACAAACCUCUGCUAAUGAAAUAUAAGAACAAAUGGGGAAAAUAUGGAGCUGACAUGGCUUAGAUACUCCCUCCAUAUAGCUGUUAGAAUAUUAUCAGAUAUUGUUGUUUUUAAAUACAACAGAAAGAUAACAAGUGAUUUAUGAAUCAUGAUGCUUGCUUUACUUUUUGGCAGUGGUAGCUUCAAAUUCAAUAACAGUAAAUGAACAAUGGUUCAUUCAUUAUGAAUGCAAUUGUAAAGUUAGGAAUUUAUAAUAUUCAGAUGUUGGAAUUAGAAUAAUAUUUCUUAGUGAUUUAAAUUGAAGCCAAAGAAAAAAAAGAAAAGAGUUCCUUUCAUAAUCCAAGUUUCACACCACUAGCCAUAUGAAGAAGGUAGACCAAAGCAUAACAACGAAUGCUACUGCCACAACAAAAGUCUGGACCAAUUGGGUAAUGGUACCUGCCAUGCCAAUUUGACGACAAUAUCAUCCCUAGACCAGAACACCAAGUGAGCCUACCUUUUGAAUAUAAAAUAAUAAGUAAAUAAAUCGAAGAUUUCAACGCAUUUAAGUAAGAAAUCAACUAAAACAGCAAAAAAAAAAAAAAAAAUUUCCUUUUUUCAUUCAACAUAACUUAUCCAUCAACUUCUUCAACAUAUCUUUUCAUUCUUAAUCAUCAUAUCAAUUCAAAAAAAAUAGCGAGUCUAACAUGCAAGGCCUUUUUGCGAAACUAACCUUUUUUGGGUUCCAAUUCUAGUCGUCUUAAACUUUAGCCAUUAGUGAAAUUCACUUCACGGCACACUUGUGCCACCAUUACAGUUUAUCAUGUUCAUACUCAGCUUAAAAUUACUUGAAGGUAGAAGAGAUUCUAUAGUUACAACUUACAAAAGCUUCUACAGAGCUUUUCAAUCUUGAAAAUAGCUGUGGAUUUCAUAAUUAGGGAGAAAAUAACAUUUUGGUUCUUUGAUUUUUUUAUUUAUGAAAUUACUAAUUUACCCUCAUAUACUAACAAUAGACAAAAACGUGUAUUAAUGUCAGGGGAGGUCUCUACAAUUACAUAAAUACUUUCUAUCAGACUGUCAAUGCACCAAACCUUAGUGGAGAUCCUUAAAAAUUACCUAAAUGUUUACCCACCUUGAUAAGGUCACUCAAGGCGCAUUUCAUAUAAUGUAUUAUAUUAUCUUGUAUUGGAAAAAUAUCCACCGUCCACCCGUUUUUUUCAACUUUUUCAAAAAUACACAAUUCUUUUUUUUUUUUUGGGCUGGAAUCCACUUAAAGUUACAUUUUGUUUAACUUCUCCACUUCCGUUUGGAAUCCAUUAAGGAAACUAACG
rnacentral:lncRNA from 1 species